UGAAAUUACUUCGAAACAUUAAAUGAAUUCACCAUGUAGAAUGCAUAAUUCCUUCAAGAUCUAAGCAUUAAAAUAAAAUAACUUUAGACUCUCCUUUCCAGCACAUCACCGUAAGUUCUCUCAAAGAAAAGAAUUGAAAACAAGAGUUUUCCAUCCAUGCCGCCACACCACUACUCGGUUCAAGCUUCCAAUAAUAAAAAAACGAAAAUCCUAUGUAGACUAUAUUACCGCACCCACCACAUGGUUUCUAAAUGAGAGAAUAAAAAAAAUUGCCAUCCUAGUGUUCAACUUCCCACAACAG
rnacentral:lncRNA from 1 species